GCUUGCCCAGUCCAACACAAGCAGUUUUUUAUUAAUUAAUAAAUUAUUCUCUCUUUCUCUGCAGAUUGAGAAUUCUUCAAAGUGGUUUACAUGCAGUUCUUAGCACAGCUGCUUGCUGGGGGUGUGUGCUCUGUGUGGGGGAUCUAUCAGCAGCCUGGCUACCUCUCUGUGAUCUUGGCUUUACACGGGACAUGAUAUAAUCUUUGAUGUUUUGGAACUCCAGGAGAAAAUCAGGAUGUUCCACCAGCAAAGGUCUCUUGGAAUUGCUGAAAGAAGACUGUAGCAGUCCUGGUUCUUGCACUUCCUUUUCUUAAGGAAAUUUACUUUAAAAGAAGUAUGGAAUGAAGAGUUUGGGAUUUCCUUGUACCAUCAAGAAAUCUUCUUGUUGCAGAUUCCAGCUUGAAUCCAGGCCAGGCCAACAGAGGAAGUCUUUUAGAGCUGUGGACAUCAAGGAAGACAGAGAAUCAUUUUUCCUCUCAAGAAAGGAAAGAAAGGGAAACUACUGUAGAAGGAAGAAUUACAUGGCCAGGAAGCAGGUAUUUCCCCUGCCUUUUUCCAUUGCAUGAAUGUAUUUGUGCACUGCAUAUAUGAAAAAAACCCUCCAUUUGCUGGUAGGUCGUAUCCCUUCCUUUCCAAAACCUGC
rnacentral:lncRNA from 1 species